ACCAACAACUUUGAGUCCUCGGCUUUCCUUCUUCCCCUCUCUCAGAAGGCAGGAAGUAGCAAACCACCACUCUUUCUUCAAAAUACUAUGUUAAGAGAGAGUUCUGCUUCUCUGCAGACACCCUGGUCUGCCACCAUCAUCUCACCUUGGAUUACUGCAGUCACCUCCCUCUGCUCUCCCUGCUUCCACCCUGAAGGCUCUACAGGCUACUUUCAAAGCAUUGGUCGGAAUGAUUCUUUAAAGCAUCCUCUGAGCCCAGGACCCUCCACUUGCUCUCUAUCUCAUGAAAGAGAGUCCUUGUUGGUUUGCAACCAUCUCAGGAGCUUCUCAGGUGUGAUCUGAAAAUGGCCCCAGUGCAUGGAGCACAGGGAGAAACUAAAGACCAAGGCGAACCACUCCAGAUUGAAUGUAAACUACACGAGAGAAGGGUUUACCGUCCUAUGUUCUCGCUGAAUUCCUGGCACCUAGAAAAUGCCUAGAAUAGGCCCUCAAGAAGUACAGCUUUGCCAGAUCUCUUUUGUGAAGAUAGAACAUUGCUUGGGAAAGAGUGAGACCCUGAAUGCUGAAAUGUGAACACACAGGAAGAUUCAGAUGGCUUCUAGUUCCCCAAACCCCCGAGCCUAUGGAAAUACACCACUCAGAUCUCCUGCUGCACAGAGUAUAACUGACUGACACUGGGCUGCUGCUGACCCUUGCACUGAGGCCAUGCUCUCUGGGGCUGCUCCCAAACCAAUGACAGAGCACACGGAAGUACCAAGGCUGGGCCCAUUCUGGCAAGAUGUGAGAAUCCGCCUUUUGGCAGCUUUGACUUGAAGACUCCCCAUUGGCCUGGCCAAACCGUUAUUUGAAUUAUGUUGCAGUUCAAGAUUCUUCCUUCCCCAAUCCCCCUUCCUUCCCUCUCUCCUUCCACAGGCAUCACACAUGCACUGUCAUCUAAAGGCUCUCCCCAUGUCCUCCUGCUUCCUCUCCCAGGAAAUCUCUUUAACUUCGUAUCCCAUUUUGCCAUCUGCUCCUUGGCAGACGCAAGCUAACACAGACUUCCUUGUCAGAUUCUCCCUACUCCCCUGUGUGUGAGGCUUUUCCCACCUCGCAUGAAGCCUCUGUAAUGACCUUUGUGGAAAUAGCUGAUUCUCUUCAUUCUCCACCCCUAACAUCUUUCAUACCCCUGAAUUCUCCCAUCAGUAAUGUGCUAGAGACUCUUUGUACCAGAUCACAAAAGUCAAUUAAUAAAUUCUCAGGAAUUUAGUGAGCUGGUUGGUAAAUGUAGUCAUUAUUAAAACUUAAAUAUAC